CAAGUCGAACGCAGUAGCAAUACUGAGUGGCAGACGGGUGAGUAACAUGUGGGAAUCUGCCUUGUGGUUCAGGACAACAUUGGGAAACCGAUGCUAAUACUGGAUAAGCCCUUACGGGGAAAGUUUUAAUGCCAUAAGAUGAGCCCGCAUUUGAUUAGUUAGUUGGUGAGGUAAUGGCUCACCAAGACAAUGAUCAAUAGCUGAUCUGAGAGGAUGAUCAGCCACACUGGGACUGAGACACGGCCCAGACUCCUACGGGAGGCAGCAGUGGGGAAUCUUGCACAAUGGAGGAAACUCUGAUGCAGCGAUGCCGCGUGAGUGAAGAAAGCCUUUGGGUUGUAAAGCUCUUUUGUAGGGGAAGAUAAUGACUGUACCCUAAGAAUAAGGUCCGGCUAACUUCGUGCCAGCAGCCGCGGUAAUACGAAGGGACCUAGCGUAGUUCGGAAUUACUAGGCGUAAAGCGCGCGUAGGCCGUUGAGUUAGUUAAUUGUGAAAUCCCAAAGCUUAACUUUGGAACUGCAAUUAAAACUGCUCGACUAGAGUUUGAUAGAGGAAAGCGGAAUACAUAGUGUAGAGGUGAAAUUCGUAGAUAUUAUGUAGAACACCAGUUGCGAAGGCGGCUUUCUGGAUCAACACUGACGCUGAGGCGCGAAAGUAUGGGUAGCAAAGAGGAUUAGAUACCCUCGUAGUCCAUACCAUAAACGAUGAUUGCUAGAUGUUGGAAAUUUAUUUUCAGUAUCGCAGCUAACGCAUUAAGCAAUCCGCCUGGGGAGUACGACCGCAAGGUUAAAACUCAAAUGAAUUGACGG
rnacentral:rRNA from 1 species